AUACGGAGGAUCCGAGCGUUAUCCGGAUUUAUUGGGUUUAAAGGGAGCGUAGGUGGAUUGUUAAGUCAGUUGUGAAAGUUUGCGGCUCAACCGUAAAAUUGCAGUUGAAACUGGCAGUCUUGAGUACAGUAGAGGUGGGCGGAAUUCGUGGGGUAGCGGUGAAAUGCUUAGAUAUCACGAAGAACUCCGAUUGCGAAGGCAGCUCACUAGACUGUUACUGACACUGAUGCUCGAAAGUGUGGGUAUCAAACAGGAUUAGAUACCCUGGUAGUCCACACAGUAAACGAUGAAUACUCGCUGUUUGCGAUAUACAGUAAGCGGCCAAGCGAAAGCAUUAAGUAUUCCACCUGGGGAGUACGCCGGCAACGGUGAAACUUAAAGGAAUUGGCGGGG
rnacentral:rRNA from 1 species